CCGUGCUUCCUUACUUCCCAUAGUCAAAUGACAAACGUAUGGAAUGUAAAGAAGUAUGGAG
rnacentral:pre_miRNA from 1 species